GAGUUGCUCUUUUGUUUGCACAUUAUUUGUUCUUUGGUGAUUUUAGCUGUAUGGUGUCUCAUAUUCCAUAGAGCUUUAUUACCAAAAACCAAAUGGUUUUUGCAUUUUUUCUGAGUUGCU
rnacentral:pre_miRNA from 15 species